AAGCCCCGGCUAACUAAGUAACCAGCAGCCGCGGUAAUACGGAGGGGGCUAGAGAAGAACGGGAUUACUGGGCGUAAAGCGCGCGUAGGCGGACCUGCAAGUCGGGGGUGAAAUCCCGAGGCUCAACUUCGAAAACUGCCUUCGAUACUGCGGGUCUCGAGUCCGGGAGAGGUGAGUGGAAUUCCUAGUGUAGAGGUGAAAUUCGUAGAUAUUAGGAAGAACACCAGUGGCGAAGGCGGCUCACUGGCCCGGUACUGACGCUGAGGCGCGAAAGCGUGGGGAGCAAACAGGAUUAGAUACCCUGGUAGUCCACGCCGUAAACUAUGGGUGCUAGCCGUCGGUCGGCAUGCCGGUCGUUGGCGCAGCAAACGCAUUAAGCACCCCGCCUGGGGAGUACGGUCGGGGGGGGGGGGGGCAAAAGAAUUGACGGGGGCCCGCACAAGCGGUGGAGCAUGUGGUUUAAUUUCGAGGCAACGCGAAGAACCUUACCAGCCCUUGACAUCCCCGGUCGCGGGAAAGCAGAGACGCACUCCUUUCAGUUCGGCUGGGACCGGUGACAGGUGCUUGCAUGGCUUGUCGUCAGCUUCGUGUCGUGAGAAUGUUGGGUUAAGUCCCCGUAACGAGCGCAACCCUUGUCCUUAUUUACCCAGCACGUAAUUGGUGGGAAACUCUAAGGAGACUGGCCGGUGAAAAACCGGAGGGAAGGUGGGGGAU
rnacentral:rRNA from 1 species